rnacentral:rRNA from 1 species
CCUACGGGAGGCAGCAGUGGGGAAUAUUGCACAAUGGGCGAAAGCCUGAUGCAGCGACGCCGCGUGAGGGAUGACGGCCUUCGGGUUGUAAACCUCUUUCAGCAGGGAAGAAGCGAAAGUGACGGUACCUGCAGAAGAAGCGCCGGCUAACUACGUGCCAGCAGCCGCGGUAAUACGUAGGGCGCAAGCGUUGUCCGGAAUUAUUGGGCGUAAAGAGCUCGUAGGCGGCUUGUCACGUCGGAUGUGAAAGCCCGGGGCUUAACCCCGGGUCUGCAUUCGAUACGGGCUAGCUAGAGUGUGGUAGGGGAGAUCGGAAUUCCUGGUGUAGCGGUGAAAUGCGCAGAUAUCAGGAGGAACACCGGUGGCGAAGGCGGAUCUCUGGGCCAUUACUGACGCUGAGGAGCGAAAGCGUGGGGAGCGAACAGGAUUAGAUACCCUGGUAGUCCACGCCGUAAACGUUGGGAACUAGGUGUUGGCGACAUUCCACGUCGUCGGUGCCGCAGCUAACGCAUUAAGUUCCCGCCUGGGGAGUACGGCCGCAAGGCUAAAACUCAAAUGAAUUGACGGCUGAGACCGNGCGAGACGACACGAGGGAGAG